rnacentral:snoRNA from 1 species
CACAAUGAUGAGCUUUCAAACACACGUUAAUGCUAGAUAGUAUCUGAAUUUUUAAUGAUUAAAGUGUAUUGGACAAUUUAAGUAUAGCUGAUG